rnacentral:rRNA from 1 species
CCUACGGGUGGCAGCAGUGGGGAAUAUUGGACAAUGGGCGAAAGCCUGAUCCAGCCAUGCCGCGUGUGUGAAGAAGGCCUUCGGGUUGUAAAGCACUUUCAGUGGGGAAGAAAUCCUUGGGGCUAAUACCCUCGAGGAAGGACAUCACCCACAGAAGAAGCACCGGCUAACUCCGUGCCAGCAGCCGCGGUAAUACGGAGGGUGCGAGCGUUAAUCGGAAUUACUGGGCGUAAAGCGCGCGUAGGCGGUCUGAUAAGCCGGUUGUGAAAGCCCCGGGCUCAACCUGGGAACGGCAUCCGGAACUGUCAGGCUAGAGUGCAGGAGAGGAAGGUAGAAUUCCCGGUGUAGCGGUGAAAUGCGUAGAGAUCGGGAGGAAUACCAGUGGCGAAGGCGGCCUUCUGGACUGACACUGACGCUGAGGUGCGAAAGCGUGGGUAGCAAACAGGAUUAGAUACCCCAGUAGUC